ACAACAUUCAGAUCGUCGGUCGACUGACCAAUAUCACCCGCUCGGUGGAAGAUCGUUCUUCUGUGGU
rnacentral:pre_miRNA from 1 species